CGUUGUGGCUAGAAAACACUAUAGAACUUACCGUAGAAUUCUGGUCCUACGGUAUCUAAUUACGAGUCAAAUAUAGCAAUACAGCAAAGGCUUCAUUGUAAAACAAAUGUCCAAAUCCAAUUAGCUGUUACAACAAGAUCUGCAAGUCCCUACAAUUCAACGAGAGAUCUGUAGGGACAUGGACAACUAUUAGUGAGAUAUUGAACUUACCGAAGACCUCUGGUCCUACGGUAUCCAAUUAGGAGUCACAUAUAGUAAAACCGCAAAGGCUUCAUUGUAAAACAAGUGUCCAAACCCAAUUAGCUGUUACAAGAAGAUCUGCAAGUCCCCACAAUUCAUCGAGAGAUCUGUAGGGACAUGGACAUCUAUUUGUGAGGUUAUGAGUGAUUGUUUGUUUAUAUAUAUAUACACAUUCUUAUGCAAAACUGGCAUUAAAUCCUAUUGAACUUACCAAAGACCUCUGGUCCUACGGUAUCCAAUUAAGAGUCACAUAUAGCAAUACAGCAAAGACUUCAUUGUAAAAUAAGUGUCCAAACUGAAUUAGUUGUUACACCAAGAUCUGCAAGUACCUAUAUUUCAACAAAAGAUCAGUUUAUUCUGUAGGGACAUGGACAUCUAUUUGUGAGGUUAUUCGGAUAUCGUAGAAUUCAGGUCCUACAGAUAUAAUAAUUCUGCAAAAGUUCAUUCUAAAACAAGU